UAUAGGAGUGAUGACUUGGUAAAAUUAAUGAACUCAACAAUAGCAAAGAAGAUUCCAAUCUCAUUUUCUAUG
rnacentral:sRNA from 1 species